ACCGGCGCACGGGUGAGUAACACGUAUGCAACCUGCCCCUGUCAGGGGGACAACCCGCCGAAAGGCGGGCUAAACCCGCGUACAUGCCACCGGGGCAUCCCGGAGGCAGGAAAGGCUUCGGCCGGACAGGGAUGGGCAUGCGGCGCAUUAGGCAGUAGGCGGGGUAACGGCCCACCUAACCGACGAUGCGUAGGGGUUCUGAGAGGAAGGUCCCCCACACUGGUACUGAGACACGGACCAGACUCCUACGGGAGGCAGCAGUGAGGAAUAUUGGUCAAUGGUCGGGAGACUGAACCAGCCAAGCCGCGUGAGGGAUGAAGGUACAGAGUAUCGUAAACCUCUUUUGUCAGGGAACAAAGGCGGGGACGUGUCCCCGGAUGAGUGUACCUGAAGAAAAAGCAUCGGCUAACUCCGUGCCAGCAGCCGCGGUAAUACGGAGGAUGCGAGCGUUAUCCGGAUUUAUUGGGUUUAAAGGGUGCGCAGGCGGUCUGUUAAGUCAGCGGUAAAAUUGCGGGGCUCAACCCCGUACAGCCGUUGAAACUGCCGGGCUCGAGUGGGCGAGAAGUAUGCGGAAUGCGUGGUGUAGCGGUGAAAUGCAUAGAUAUCACGCAAAACCCCGAUUGCGAAGGCAGCAUACCGGCGCCCUACUGACGCUUANGCACGAAAGUGCGGGGAUCAAACAGGAUUAGAUACCCUGGUA
rnacentral:rRNA from 1 species